UUGAACGCUGGCGGCAGGCCUAACACAUGCCAGUCGAACGGUAACAGGAAGCAGCUUGCUGCUUCGCUGACGAGUGGCGGACGGGUGAGUAAUGUCUGGGAAACUGCCUGAUGGAGGGGGAUAACUACUGGAAACGGUAGCUAAUACCGCAUAACGUCGCAAGACCAAAGAGGGGGACCUUAGGGCCUCUUGCCAUCGGAUGUGCCCAGAUGGGAUUAGCUAGUAGGUGGGGUAACGGCUCACCUAGGCGACGAUCCCUAGCUGGUCUGAGAGGAUGACCAGCCACACUGGAACUGAGACACGGUCCAGACUCCUACGGGAGGCAGCAGUGGGGAAUAUUGCACAAUGGGCGCAAGCCUGAUGCAGCCAUGCCGCGUGUAUGAAGAAGGCCUUCGGGUUGUAAAGUACUUUCAGCGGGGAGGAAGGGAGUAAAGUUAAUACCUUUGCUCAUUGACGUUACCCGCAGAAGAAGCGCCGGCUAACUCCGU
rnacentral:rRNA from 1 species